GCAGAACCAGCAGACCUAAUCCCCAAACCAAAACCCCAUACAGCCUCGAUAUCACUUUACCAGGAUACCAGGAAACCCUAGAAUUCGCCGGAAAAUGUCAGCGAUAGUUUGUGGGAGCAAGAGAUCCUUCUUGCUGGAGGAUCUUCCCUCGCCUCCUGUAUCCAAAAGGCUUCGAUGCAGUUCCUCUUCUUCUUCACCUGUUCGCUUCUCGCCUCCCUCCCCUCUCCAUCAUCUCAAAGCUCUUUUCCCGCACGUCGAUUCUCAGCUUCUUGAGAGAGCACUUUUUGAAUCUUCUAAUGAUUUAGACUCUGCCAUCAAUAGCCUGAAUGAGCACCAUUUAGAAUCUGCAGAGCAUAAUUCUGGUUCUGCUGAAGAAGCUAGUCUAAAUGCAGAGCAAGGUACAUUACCCAAUGAUGGAGAUGCUGCUGCUUCUGAGAAUACAUCAGUGCCAAGCAACGUUCCUGUGGAUGGUGCAGAAUGGGUGGACUUGUUUGUAAGAGAAAUGAUGAGUGCUGCCAAUGUUGAUGAUGCUAGAGCUCGUGCCUCAAGAGUGCUGGAGAUUUUGGAGAGAUAUAUCAGUAAGCAUGCUGCUGAAGAUGCAGCACAGAGUUUACAGAAGGAAAACUUGAUGCUAAAAGAG
rnacentral:misc_RNA from 1 species